UGCGAUGUAGUUUAUUAAAAUACUUACUUUACACGUAAGAGUAUCCUUAUAGGACUUUGUAA
rnacentral:tRNA from 1 species